rnacentral:rRNA from 1 species
AUGGCGGCUGCGCCCGCUAGACCUCGUGCGCCGUCGGCUGCCACUGUCGCCCCGCCCGCCAAGAGGAAGAAGAAGGGCCCGCCAAGUCGUCUCCGAGCGUUGCCGGUCCUUCCGGCCGCGGGCUGGUCCGCCCUCCCGCCGGACCUCGUCCGCCGCGUCGCCGACUGCCUUCUCGCCACCAACGACCUCGACUGCUACAUGGACUUCCGCGCCGUCUGCUCCGGCUGGCGCGACGCCACCGACGACCCCAGGAGCGACCCGUCCGACCCCCGCUUCCGCCCGCGGCGUUGGGUCAUCCUGCUCGACGAGGGCUUCCAGCUCCAGAGCGACGCCGACGGCGUUGACGGCGGCGGCGAGCUGCUGCUCCUGCUGAAUGCCGCCACGGGGCGCUUCAUCCGCAAGAGGCUCCCGCUGCUCCGCCGCUACUACGUCGUGGCCACCACCCUGGGCGGCCUCUUCGUCCUGGCGGACAGGAACCCUUCCCACGCCGCCCGCGUCUUCAACCCGCUCACCGGCGUGCUGGUCCGGUUCGCGGCGCCUGUGCCCGCCGAGAAGGAGCUGUCCGCCUUCGUCAAAAGUGACAGCUCCGGCUUCUGGCCCCUGCUCGGCUUGCUCUGCGCCUCAUCUCGCAGGCCGUGCGUGGCUGGUCCCGACGAUGAAAGUUUCUUCUACGGGGGGUACAAGGCCAAGGAGUACCCUAACUACAAUUCCGCACGGAUGGCGGUCGCAGGUGGUCUCUACACCAACGACGGCACAACUGGAUUCGUUGCAAAAUCAGAGGGCUGGUUCCCCAAGAUCUGCGAUCUGAUUCAUGUCAAUCCUCAUCAAGAAGAUGUCUGGCGUUUCCUGGUUGAGCUUGGUGGACAGGUGCUGAUCGUCGUCAGGCUGCGGGGGCGCGUCAAGGUUUUCAAGUACGACGACGCCGAGCCCGUGCCCGUGGAGAGCGUCGGCAGGCAUGCCAUCUUCGUCGGUCACCAUAGGUGCCUCGCCGUGGACGCCGACAGGUUCCCGUCCGUCGAGGCAGACUGCAUCUACUACAUUGAUCGACGGGGUUUGUCAGCCCACAUCUGCAUGUACAGCCUCAGGGACGAGAAAGAGGAGAGGGUUUCGGGUGGUGCCGUCGAUUUCGUGAAGCCGCACAAGCUGUUCGUCCUCGUCGCCGACCGCCCUUUCACUGUCAUCCAGCUUCUCUGCAACUACACCAUCAACGCCCGGGAUUCUCAGCUGCCGUUGAAAGAAGACGCCGACAACUUUGACAAAAAAGGGUUUUAA